rnacentral:rRNA from 1 species
CGUGAGGUGUUGGGUUAAGUCCCGCAACGAGCGCAACCCUCAUCUUUAGUUGCCAUCAGUUAGGCUGGGCACUCUAGAGAAACUGCCUGCGAUGAGCAGGAGGAAGGCGGGGAUGACGUCAAGUCCUCAUGGCCCUUAUGGACUGGGCUACACACGUGCUACAAUGGCGGUGACAAUGGGCAGCGAAGGGGCGACCUGGAGCAAAUCCCAAAAAGCCGUCCCAGUUCGGAUUGUACUCUGCAACUCGAGUGCAUGAAGUUGGAAUCGCUAGUAAUCGCGGAUCAGCAUGCCGCGGUGAAUACGUUCCCAGGCCUUGUACACACCGCCCGUCACACCAUGGGAGUGGGUUGCACCAGAAGUGGCUAGUCUAACUUAGGAGGACGGUCACCACGGUGUGAUUCAUGACUGGGGUGAAGUCGUAACAAGGUAACCGUAGGGGAACCUGCGGUUGGAUCACCUCCUU